GACAGAGGGUGCAAACGUUGCUCGGAAUUACUGGGUGUAAAGCGCGUGUAGGUGGACUGGUGUGUCAGAUGUGAAAGCCCUGGGCUCAACCCAGGAACGGCACCUGAAACUACCAGCCUUGAGUGGUGGAGAGGGAAGUGGAAUUCCUGGUGUAGAGGUGAAAUUCGUAGAUAUCAGGAGGAACACCAGUGGCGAAGGCGGCUUCCUGGACACCAACUGACGCUGAGACGCGAAAGCGUGGGGAGCAAACAGG
rnacentral:rRNA from 1 species